rnacentral:rRNA from 1 species
AUUGAACGCUGGCGGCAGGCUUAACACAUGCACGUCGAACGAGUGGCGGACGGGUUAGUAAUGCUUGGGAAUCUAGCUUAUGGAGGGGGAUAACUAAGGGAAACUGUAGCUAAUACCGCGUACCAUAGGAUGAGCCCAAGUGGGCUUAGGUAGUUGGUGAGGUAAAGGCUCACCAAGCAGCCGAUCUCUAGCUGGUCUGAGAGGAGGACCGGCCACACGGAGACUGAGACACGGCCCAUACUCCUACGGGAGGCAGCAGUGGGGAAUAUUGCGCAAUGGGGGCAACCUGACGCAGCCAUGCGGCGUGAAGGAAGAAGGCCUUCGGGUUGUAAAGUUCUUUCGGUAGCGAGGCGUUAACUACAGAAGAAGCACCGGCUAACGCCGUGCCAGCCGCCGCGGUAAUUC